UACGAAGGGGGCUAGCGUUGCUCGGAAUCACUGGGCGUAAAGCGCACGUAGGCGGCUUCUUAAGUCAGGGGUGAAAUCCCGGAGCUCAACCCCGGAACUGCCUUUGAUACUGGGGAUCUUGAGUCCGGAAGAGGUGAGUGGAACUCCGAGUGUAGAGGUGAAAUUCGUAGAUAUUCGGAAGAACACCAGUGGCGAAGGCGGCUCACUGGUCCGGUACUGACGCUGAGGUGCGAAAGCGUGGGGAGCAAACAGG
rnacentral:rRNA from 1 species